UUUUUCCCUGUUCGUUUUCCAUUUGAACGUGUAGUUGAGUUUGCAUAUCUUGUGAAUCGGGUUUUUAGGGUUUGUGGAGAAUCGGAGAGGUUCUAUUUGUCUGUCUAUUUCUCAUCAGUGGAUGUUAUUUAUAAGACUUAUGAAGUGGGUUUUAAGGGUUUGGAAAGGGUGGGAGAGGUUGGGGUACUUUCCGAAUAUUCUGGUGAUUUAUGGAAGCAUUGGUUUGGUUUUGUUUUGUUUUUCUUUCGCUCUUCACAUUGUUGCUUUAACGGUUUCCGUUUCGUUUGUGUAUUGCAUCUGAUGCAUUAAUCACCUUGGAAGGAAUUGGAGAGGUGGGAAUUGAAAUUGUUGUUCAGGCUUAGGACAUGAAUUCAUAUAGAAGUUCUGGUUUGGUUUUGUGUUCUUUUUAGUUUUGCUUGUGCUUUUCAAAUUGUUGCUUUUAUGUUCCUCUUGUUUCUGUAUUGGGUGUGAUCUGCUUGGUAAGCGGAGGUAAGUUGAUGCUAGUUGAGUGAGCAGAGAGUGAUUAUCUUGGAAGCCUUUUGGAAUAUGUGCUUUUGAAGGUGUAUGUAGAUGUGGACUGCAAGAAUAUCGUUAUCUUCUCCUUCUCACUCACAUGUGCAUGUUUAAGUGGGCUGACGCUGAUGGAAAGGAAAUGUAUAAGUUGAUUGAUUGAAUUGAAUAUCUAUCUGAAAGCUAACAUAUUGAUGUUCAGUACUUUGUCCACUCAAUCAUUAGUAUUUUGUCGCAAUGGGAUAACCUUCGGUCCUCCACUGCUGUUCCAAACUCUAUUUUACAUCAAUAGUGAAAGCUGAAGAUGUUUGAAUUUAUUUUGACGGACAGUGUAUGGUAGUGAGUCUGAACAGGUGAUGCUUGUAUGUAUUGAGCUCGCCACUGUAGGAGGAUAUCUGGGAUGAAGUUUAAACUGUAUCAUGGACCUUGGUUGCUGUUAUUAAUAUCCUAUAUCCCGAUUUUAUCCUUUGUGGGUGUGUUGGAUGGGGAAGGAAGUCCGAUGAAUCUCUAUUUUCUUUGAGUCUCAGAUAAUAUUGUGUAUCUGAAGUAAGCAAUUGUUAAUUUGAAGCUUUAUUCAUUGAUUCAAGUUAACCAGGUCAGCGGAUGCGCUUGGCUAUAGUUUUAGGCAUGCUUGGAAUCUCUAGGUUGGGGUAGAGGACUUCCAAUGUGAAUGCUGAACAUAGUGAGUUAAUGAUUGAUGAGUGGGGAAUGAUGCCAGGUAUAGUGCUUUAUAUGUCUUGGCCUCAAAGAGGUCCAGUAGUAGAAACUGAACUGUAGUCUGUAGGAUAAGCCUGUGACUCUGUGAGGAAAAA